AUUGUACUCCCUCCGUCCCAUAUUAAGUGACUCAAAUUUGUCCAAAUAUGAAUAUAUCUACACCUAAAAAGCGUCUAGAUACAUGUAAUAGAAAGUCACUUAAUAUGGGACGGAGGGAGUAUUGC
rnacentral:pre_miRNA from 1 species